GGCCCUUUAGCUUAGCCGAUUAAAGCGAAUGACCACCAUCGUCAGGUCGCUGAUUCGGGUUUAGCAAAGGCCACCA
rnacentral:tRNA from 1 species